GAGAAUGGGAACAGGAAAGAUAGUAGAAUGGAUCAGACAUGAUUUUCUAUGUUCAUAUAUGAAUACAUGACCAGUGUAACUCCACAUCAUGUACAACCACAAAAAUGGGAAGUUACACUCCACGUACGUAUGAUAUGUCAAAACACAUUCUAAAGUCAUGUAUAAACUAAAAAGAACAAAUCAAAAAUUAAAAUAGAUGAUUUGGUUUCCUAUAGUAGCAUGAUCUCAGCUGCCCUGGAUAAAAAUUCUUCUGGAACCAUCUGUACACUCUAGGUUAAGGCAGAGCCACGUGCUCCUGAAAAGACACAUCUCCAGGGCUCCGGGCAGCACGCAGUCAGGUCACAAGUCACAUCUGCUUUGCGGGGUUUGUGUGUUUCUCCUAUGUUCUGCAGGACAGUGGUCAGGCAGGGACUCGCAGCCCCAUUCUAUGGGUGCAGACUGACUCAGGUUAGAUCACAAGUUCACGGUGGGUAAGGCUGAUGUCAUCCCCCUGCCCACGUAACACUGUCUCCUCUUUGUGACCUAACACGUCACUGUGACAUCAUCUCAGUGUCCUACGACAUCACCUCAGUGCCCUGCCCUCCGUGAUGGAAUCUUGACUUCUGCGAAGCUUUGAGGAAACCUUCUUUCCUCUACUUCUUUUUAUGACGCAUUAAAAUUUUCUGCCUCAGUUUCCCAAUCUAUUCAAAAGCAAAAAUAAUGAGGCUGAAGUACCUAUGUGUGGUUGGUUGAAAUAGUUUUGAUUCUUUUCUGAAUGGGGAUGAAUGCAAAUCACCUUGUUAUUUCACUAAUUAAUAACCUCUGCUUGGAAAUGCAACUAUUAGUGCACAAUAAACGAUAAGGCUUCUCAUCAUGGAUGACAGUAAUGGCUUCUUCUCUGCCCCUUACCUUCAUCCCCGUUCCUCUUCCUGAGCUAUAGCUAUCUCUGUGGGGGUGAGGAAAAGACAUUGCAAAGAAGCCAACAAUGGAUGCCUUUCCCAAGGGUUUGGAAAUGGAUGAAUCGUCCGGCUCCGUCUGCAGCCUUCAAGCUGUGUGGCUGACUCGCAGGCUCCUAGAAAUGCCAGCUGAGAGCAGAUCCUGUCACCUGCCCGGCCCGUGACCUGUUCCACUCCUCACCUGACCCCCUGUGCCCAACGUCACCUGGAGCCUGGAAUCUGGAAGCAGAGAGUCCUUGACUGGAGCCAGCGGAGAGAAAAUCAUCACCUGCUUGGGCACAAACAUGCCUGGUGACUGUGUCACUGUUUGUUAAGUGGGAUCAGCUAAUAGUUGCUCAGCGGCCCUUCAAAGAGCCUUCAAAGAGUUUCUGUAAACGCACUCCCCGUGCGAGGGCCUUGGACUUCAGAACCCAAGUGCGUUUGGAGCCUGAGAGCAGCCCUCCAUGCACCCUGGUUAAACUGCAGUGGAAAAGCAACAGCUUGCAUUUCCUUUGCCCUCCCUGGCUCUCUCUCCCCGGCCAGUCCCUGGCUUCCCACCUCUGCACCCUCUGCAUGGGCUGCUGCCCCUGCCUGGGGCACCCACCGCCCUGGGGGGCACCCACCGCCCUGGGGAGCAACUGCGGGCUUCCUCUGCCUUCACUUAGGGACCCGCUGCAACCCCCUCCAGAGACCUCAACGCUCCCUCCUCUCCCUGCCUCUCUUCCUCCACAGCCCCCUGGGACUAUCUGACCUACCUGUCCCCUUCCUCAGCUGUCCCCUUCCCCACCGGAACGUAAGUUCCCUGGGAAGAACUUGUUCCUCUGGAGAACGCCUUCUUGACUAAGUGAACCAACAAAUGAGUGGAGGAAUGAUUUUCCUUCAGCUUACAAAUGAAACCACUGAAGAACACAGAGGGACAGGAAGCUAGUCCAGGGCCACCGCCGUUUAGUGGCAGGGCCGGUAUUUGUGCUCUCCCUUCCUGACUCGCCUGACAUGGUUCUCCAGAAAUUCAGCAAUGGAGACAGCCCUGGGCCACUGUGGUCGCAUGUGUAUGCCAGGCUUUGGGCAGGGCAUGUCGACGUGGACGGCCAGAACUCCGUGAAGGGUAAGAGCUUAUUACCUGAGCGCUGAGCGGAUUUUUCUAAUGACUCCAGAGGUCCCAGAACAUCAGCUGUGCUACCACAUUUAAAAACCAUGUUUAAAUCUGAGUCAUUUUGAGCAUUACCGUACAAAUGUGAAUAAAGGAAAAUAAUUAUUAGAAUCCCUUACAGAACCCACUGCAGGCUUUGAGGUCUAUUGAUUCCAUUUAGUAACUGAAAGGAUGCACUGUGUAGUUUUCUAGCCUUUGUCCUUACAUAUUUUACUGUAGACAUGUCCUGAUCCACUAAAACCAACAGUUUCCGGGGCUGCUCCUAUUCCAACAUGAGUGUGUCACAAUUUGACUUCAUUGAUUUCCUAUUAUUGAUCCUGAGGACUGUUCCAGUCUCUAUUGAUUGAACUUCUAGCUUUUAGAUCUUUCAUAUUUCUGGGUUCCGUUAUUGUACUGACAUUUCCAUACUUUACCGAAACCAUGCAGAGAACAAAUUGUUGUCUAUGUUCUUACAGAAAAAAAAAGGCUGCAAAUGAGCUAAAAUCUCCUGGGAUUCAAGCGCAAACUCCUCUUGGGAUCAGGAACUGCUGCCGCUCUCCCUCAUUUGCAUUUGUGGUCUUUGAAGGGGUGGGAGGUGGGAGCCUGGGGGUGGGCAGGAAGCAUGGGCCAAGGAGAGCAAAUAGAGGCUUUGGGAGUGUGUUUACAUUUCUGUUCUAUGUGUGUGCUUCUGGCCUUCAUAGCAAGGGGAUAAAAAGCCAGGACUCUGCUCUCGUGGCGCCUGCAGACCUCUGCACUUUAACAAUCCAGGCACAAGUUGUUCUAGGCUAGUCAGCAUGACUCAGCGGGGCAGCAGGAGCUCCCUGAGGUCAGGACCUGCUCCUCGCUCCCACUAUAGUGGGAAGGCCUGCAAAGCGCUCUCAGUCUAAGAAACAACCCUGUGUUCAGAGUGUGGCUGGAUCCCGUGGCAUUUUCCGGCCACACUUCUGGUUGGGGUGAUGGCCGCUGCAUCCUAGGGUGCUGGUACUGGUAAACCCCCUCUGGACUCUGCUGUAGACUUGCAGAAGUCAUCAUCACUUCCAUUGACUGGGCACCUCCUAGGUGUCAAUAUACAAAGCUGGGUGCUUUCAAUCCUCAAAAUAAGUCCCAGUAGGCUUCAUUUUCCAAAUAAAGGCACUAAAGUGCAGAGCGGUUGAGAGAGCUGCCCAGUCACACAGAGAUAGGAUUUAACAGUGGCAUAUUUGACUUCAAAGCCUAGGCAUUAUUGUACAUCUCCGAUUUUGUGAAAUAGAGAGGACCCUCCUUCUGCUUAAUAUCCAUAAUUGUCAAGACAGUUACCGUGGACCAUAUUGCAUUAGAAUUAAUCCUUCAUCAAAGAUUCCAUUUACCAGUUGUUUAAUAAGCACUUACUUUGUGCCAUGCUCUUACGAGUUUCCACUGAGAGUUGAAUAGACCACAUUCCCUGUCCUAAAAGGGAUGAGGCAAAGAAGCAAAGGGCAGAACUGAGAAAGAUUUAAGCCUCCAUUCUUAGGAAGUGGAUUAUUAUAUCUACCAUAGGGAUUGGCUCAUCAUCAAAACUCAAUAAAUACUGGCAAAAGGAAAAAAGGAAUGAAGGAUGGGUGAAAAUUACAAAGCACAUAAAAUCUAAUCUGAAGGCAUGAAAUCUAUCCUUAUGUUUACUUCUUACUUGCUGUGCAACCUUUGAGAUCUAUGUUUAGCCUCUCUGAACCUACCCCCUUAUUAUGCAAAAGUGGGCAUAAAUGUCUUUGCCUUCUUCCACUCAUAGGAUCAUUGUUAAUCCAGUGAAUUGAAAGACCAGCGGCAGUUAUCAGAGCUAUUAAAACUGUACUCCUCCACCAGGCCUGGUGGCAGCUACCUAGAGUCAGAGCUCCUGGUUAGACUGAGGCAGGAGGGUCACAAGUUUGAGGCCAGGCUGAGCAACUAAGUGAGACACUGUCUCAAAAUAAAAAUAAAAAGGGCCGGGGUCGUAGCUCAGCUCUAGAGCCCUGGGCUGACAUUGAGCCCAGUGCUACAAAGACAAACAAAAAGUACCCAUCAGUUCUCAGAGUGUCAAGGACGAUGACAGCUGUGGGUUCCUUCCACCUGCACCUUUGCUGUGGACUACACACCAGGUGGACGAGCACUUUGCAAGGGCUGGACAUUUGUGCCUUCGUCACCAACCCCUGAUCGACGUGCCCAUUUUGUGGAUGGGGAGAGUGGCUUGGGCAGUGUGGACAGCGUGCUGGACAUGGUACAGUGCUGGGCAGGGGGAGGAGUCAGAGUCCCAGGGACCAAGGCUGGCGUCCCCACUCCUAUGGCUGCUCUGUCACUGUCCCCAGUCACUCCGCUGGAGACAUUUCUCUAGGGGCAGUAGGUAAACCCUGACUUGAUAGUCACCUUCUCACAUAGAAUCAGCCACGAAAUUCCUCAAAGAAAUAAACAUAGCUACUGAUCCAAAGGAAUUGAAACUGGCAUGUCAGAGAGACAUCCACACCCCACGUCCAUGGCAGUGCUAAUCACAGUAGCCAAAACACAGAAACAGCCCAAGUGUCCAUCAGUGGAUGAGUGGAUAAAGAAAAUGAGGUGUAUUUACCCAGCGGAAUACUAUUCAGCCAUAAAAAAUGAAAUAUUGUCCUUUGUGACAAUGAGGAUGGAAUUGGAAGGCAUUACAUUAAAUCAAACCUGCCAGGCACGGAGAGACAAAUACCACAUGACCCUUCUUCUACGAAGAAUAUCAGAGAGUCAGACUUACAGAGGAAGAUUGUGGUUCCAGGAGGCUAGAGAGACUUUGGCUAAAUAAUAGAAAAUUUCAGUGAAAUAAAUGAAAUUAUUCAAGAGCUGUAAUGUAAAACAUGAUCAUCAUCAUUAAUAAAAAUUUAUUGUUUUCUUGAAAACUGCUAAGAGAUUCUAAAUGCCCUUACCACAAAAAUAGCUGUGAGGCAAUGCAUAUGUUAAUUAACUGAAAUCAUGUAUCCG
rnacentral:lncRNA from 1 species